GAUGAACGCUGGCGGCGUGCCUAAUACAUGCAAGUCGAGCGAACAGAUGAGGAGCUUGCUCCUCUGACGUUAGCGGCGGACGGGUGAGUAACACGUGGAUAACCUACCUAUAAGACUGGGAUAACUUCGGGAAACCGGAGCUAAUACCGGAUAAUAUAUUGAACCGCAUGGUUCAAUAGUGAAAGACGGUUUUGCUGUCACUUAUAGAUGGAUCCGCGCCGCAUUAGCUAGUUGGUAAGGUAACGGCUUACCAAGGCAACGAUGCGUAGCCGACCUGAGAGGGGAACCGGCCAAACGGGAAUGAGAAAAGGGCCAAGAUCCAAAGGGGGGGCACAAGGGGGAAAUUUGCCGCAAUGGGGGAAGGCUGAACGGAGAAAAGCGGGGUGGGUGAUGAAGGGCUUGGGAUCGAAAAACCUUGUUAUUGGGAAAAAAAAAAUGGGGAAGAAAAUAGGCACGUCUGAAGGGAACCAAAGAAAAAAACCAGGGUAAACUAGGG
rnacentral:rRNA from 1 species